rnacentral:ribozyme from 1 species
UGCCCAGCAACUCCUAUCCCUACCUCAUCGCGGUACUGGCCGGGGUACGAGUAACCUUAGGGAAGAUCGGGUAACCAUUUCCGGUGGGAGCUUUAGUCGUAGACUGAGAGGGAAGG